AGCAGAAGUUCUAAAGAGAUCAUGGUAAAGCUCAUGCUUUCACCUCUCAGAUUCAAGCUGAUUAAAGGGUUUGAGGAAAAGUACCAUGGGCAAUAAAGAACAAUGAAGAUCAUUUAGAUGAGCUGAAGCACUACUGGUCUUCUGAUGAAAUUUUUGAAAUUUGGGAUGAGUGGCAAAUUUUUCAGCGAAUCCAAGGGAACCAGAAUAGGGAUGGUCAGCUUAGCAAGAGAAACCAAGGCACCAGUGAGGAAGAGAUGAUUUCAGAGCUAACUAAGAGUUAACUGGCUACGUUUCAACUGUCACCAUUGUCUUAAAUCUGCAUGGAGAGUGGAGAGAC
rnacentral:lncRNA from 1 species